CUUGUUUGCACGAAAGGAGGCAGCGGGACUUGGUCGUCGAGUGUCUGGAACUAAAAUCGGACACUCGACCUCUCGAACGACCGCUGAAACUACCGAACGCCUGCUUCCUUUAGUUUCCGAACAGCCAGGAGAGCGCCAUUCGGUAGUUUUGUUCAUACGGACAAGGGGAGCAAUCGCUCCUAUGAGCCAGGAGGAUCCAUUCGGGACUUUUAUUCGUUUUAUGCCUUUUUCUGAAUUGACCGACCACACACGCUGAAUUCGUGGAACUGUUUUGGGCAGGAGCCUCGUGUGUGGUCAGUAACUUGUGAC